AUCGAGUAACGAACUACUUACACGUUUCAAUAAGAACAACAAAGUAAACCUACCAGAAAAUACUUUUAAAAAUGGUCGAUCUAAACAAUCCAAAAUCGCCUGAAAGCUUUAAAGUUGAGAUUAAAUUUCUUCUCGUUCCAGGAGCUAUUUUAGCCGCCCUUAUAGUUUACUUUAUUUACAAAAUUAUCAAGACCAAUAAAGAAAGAGAGCAAGCCAAGCUAGAGAAACGAAAAAUGAAACAAGAAAAGAAGAAAAAAUGAAUGAAACGCUACACAAAAUAUUUAUGAAGAACACUUUGAAACAAUGACAAUUAUUAACAAUGAAUAAGCAAUAUUAAUAUACAUGGAAGAAUGGACAAAAAUAACCACAAAUGAUAUGUUCCAGAAGUGUGUGUUCUCUGUUGCUGGUUGCCAGUCAUUCUGAAUAAAGAGCAAAGAUUGACAAGACCAUGGUGGAUUARUCUGCACAUCUUAUCUACAUUAUGGAAGAGAUAGAAUGAUUUUACUUCGCCUGUGAAAAAAAUUAAUAUUSAGUGUAAUGCUGUAGUAGACACUAUUUCCAUUGUUUUCUGUUGUUUUACUGUACUUGUACUGUUAGUCACUAAUAAUUAUACCACUUUGUUUAACGGGUCAAGUAAAAUCACUCUCAUUUUACAUUUCUGUCAACACCUUUUUAGCUCUGAUUGAUGAUAAAUUGGGCAACACAUUAAAGCUGGCUAAGGAUGAUUUUAACAAAUAUUUAUAUUUCCUAUCCUUAUCUUGGUUGAAUAGAUGAAUGAUUUUCCUUUA